rnacentral:rRNA from 1 species
AGAGUUUGAUCCUGGCUCAGAGCGAACGCUGGCGGCAGGCCUAACACAUGCAAGUCGAACGGACCCUUCGGGGUUAGUGGCGGACGGGUGAGUAACACGUGGGAACGUGCCUUUAGGUUCGGAAUAGCUCCUGGAAACGGGUGGUAAUGCCGAAUGUGCCCUUCGGGGGAAAGAUUUAUCGCCUUUAGAGCGGCCCGCGUCUGAUUAGCUUGUUGGUGGGGUAAUGGCCCACCAAGGCUACGAUCAGUAGCUGGUCUGAGAGGAUGACCAGCCACAUUGGGACUGAGACACGGCCCAAACUCCUACGGGAGGCAGCAGUGGGGAAUCUUGCGCAAUGGGCGAAAGCCUGACGCAGCCAUGCCGCGUGUAUGAUGAAGGUCUUAGGAUUGUAAAAUACUUUCACCGGUGAAGAUAAUGACUGUAGCCGGAGAAGAAGCCCCGGCUAACUUCGUGCCAGCAGCCGCGGUAAUACGAAGGGGGCUAGCGUUGCUCGGAAUUACUGGGCGUAAAGGGAGCGUAGGCGGACAUUUAAGUCAGAGGUGAAAUCCCGGAGCUCAACUCCGGAACUGCCUUUGAUACUGGAUGUCUUGAGUGUGAGAGAGGUAUGUGGAACUCCGAGUGUAGAGGUGAAAUUCGUAGAUAUUCGGAAGAACACCAGUGGCGAAGGCGACAUACUGGCUCAUUACUGACGCUGAGGCUCGAAAGCGUGGGGAGCAAACAGGAUUAGAUACCCUGGUAGUCC